GAUGAAGAACGUAGCGAAAUGCGAUAAGUAGUGUGAAUUGCAGAAUUCAGUGAAUCAUCGAAUCUUUGAACGCACAUUGCGCCCCUUGGUAUUCCGAGGGGCAUGCCUGUUCGAGCGUCAUUAUAACCCCUCAAGCUCAGCUUGGUGUUGGGGCCUGCUGCACUGGCAGCCCUUAAAAUCAGUGGCGGCGCCAUCUGGCUCUAAGCGUAGUAAUUCUUCUCGCUAUGGAGUCCUGGUGGAUGCUUGCCAUCAACCCCCAAUUUUUCUAUGGUUGACCUCGGAUCAGGUAGGGAUACCCGCUGAACUUAAGCAUAUCAAUAGCGGAGGA
rnacentral:misc_RNA from 1 species